rnacentral:rRNA from 1 species
AUUGAACGCUGGCGGCAUGCCUUACACAUGCAAGUCGAACGGCAGCACGGGGCAACCUGGUGGCGAGUGGCGAACGGGUGAGUAAUGCAUCGGAACGUGCCAUUGAGUGGGGGAUAACGUAGCGAAAGUUGCGCUAAUACCGCAUAUUCUGUGAGCAGGAAAGCAGGGGGACCGCAAGGCCUUGCGCUCUUUGAGCGGCCGAUGUCAGAUUAGCUAGUUGGUGAGGUAACGGCUUACCAAGGCGACGAUCUGUAGCGGGUCUGAGAGGAUGAUCGCCACACUGGAACUGAGACACGGUCCAGACUCCUACGGGAGGCAGCAGUGGGGAAUUUUGGACAAUGGGCGCAAGCCUGAUCCAGCCAUGCCGCGUGUCUGAAGAA